rnacentral:rRNA from 1 species
CAACCGAGUCGGGUAGCUUGGGAAUGCUGCUCUAAUUGGUGGUAAAUCUCAUCAAAGGCUAAAUAGUGGUGGGAGACCGAUAGCGAACAAGUACCGUGAGGGAAAGAUGGAAAGAACUUUGAAAAGAGAGUGAAAAGCACUUGAAACCGUCACGGGGGAAGCGGAUUGCGUGAGUGAUGGUGUCGCUUGUUCAGCGCUUUAUUGCGUGCAUUCUGGCGGCGCCGUGCCGGCGUGGCUGGCUGGACUGUGAUUUUGACAGUCUCGGCUGGUGAGGGCUCCCUCGUAUGAGGUGAGGACGCGGGCAAAAUGACGCAAUACGACCCGUCUUGAAACACGGACCAAGGAGUCUAGCACGGCUGCGAGUCGAAGAGUGAUUAAACUCAAGGGCGCAGUGAAAGCGAAAUUAUAAGCAAAUUGGGGAGGCGUUGCGUUUUUAACAAAAUGUCCUACCUCGAGCAUUUGUGCUGGGACCCGAAAGAUGGUGAACUAUGCCGGAGUAGGGCAAAGCCAGAGGAAACUCUGGUGGAGGCUCGUAGCGAUGCUGACGUGCAAAUCGCUCGUCGAACUUGGGUAUAGGGGCGAAAGACUAAUCGAACCAUCUAGUAGCUGGUUCCCUCCGAAGUUUCUCUCAGGAUAGCGGGCCGACACGCGUUUGUUGUUUUGUGCGGUAAAGCGAAUGAUUAGUGCAUUUGGGGUACGAAGUACUUCGGGCGAUUCUCAAACUUUAAAUGCGCAAGGGGGUGGCUGCUUAAUUGAGCCUACUCUUUGAAAAACGUCGGCCCUGUGGGCCACUUUUGGUAAGCAG